rnacentral:lncRNA from 1 species
CCACGGCGCCCCAGCCCGAGGCCUGGCGCAGAGCAGCGGGAGGCGGCGCAGGCCGCGGCGGGGCCUGCAGCGGCCCGCCGACCCCGCGAGGCAGCGGAGUGGGCCCUGGAGCGGCUCAGCCUCGGGCUGGGCGGCCAGGGGCUGCCGGGGACGGCCCCUCGGCUACUUACCGGGAGGAAGUAGAGCCCGGAUCCCGGGGACCCGGGCCGGACCGCGGAGAUGCCCCAAACUGACACGGCCGCCAUCUUGGAGACAUGCUCAGCCCUCUGUUGGAGAUUCUGCCUCCCCUGGGUCGGGUGUCCCUCCCUCUGUGUCCUUGUGAGUACACUCCCAAGGACAGUGUGGGUAGUGUGCUGUGUGUGGGUGUGCUCUGGUGCCGGACAGGGUGCAGGGGAGGGUUCUGGCAUCCUGUCCUUUGAGAGGGGACCUUGGUGAGCUUGUGUUUAUGUGAGAAUGCAUGUGAAGUCGGUCAUAUCCCACAACUCAAGGCCCCUUCCUCCUAGAGGGCAGCCCAGGAAUGGGCAGGCCUCGGCCAAGGCCUGGGCUCUCUUGAGGAGCCUUCCCUUGGUGCCUUCAGUUCCUGCCCUUGGCCCAUCUCCCCAGAAGGUGGUCUUUCCUUGGAGGGGACCGAGACUCCCUCCCCCGGCCCUGGGGUCAUGGUAGAAACACCGGCCUCAGCUCCGUAGUAUGCUCCUUGCCUGGCAUUCACAUUUCUUGGCCCAUUUCCUCCACUGGGAGCUGGGAUCCUAACCUCUCAAAGUGGGGACCCCCAAGAGGGUCUUGCAGGGUCGUGGGCAUGGAGCUGGUACAGAGUGUAUGUGCGGGGAGGGGUGACUGGGAACAGGGCCUGGGUGUCAGGAUAACUGGGAUGGCCUAGUGAUCUCUGUUCUUUGUGCCGUGAUUGAGAAUGCAGGUGAACUCCACAUAGUUAAAGUUGCCUUUCUUGUCAACAGGCACCUCCGGGUACAACUCACCCCUUUGCUGGUGUGUGAGGUGGUCACAGUGGUGGGCUUCCUGGAUAAAACCUGAAGUUGAGGCUUCCUCAUUGAAGUGUUGCAGAUCACAUCCUCAGGGUCCAUGCGGUUCAGCUGCUCCCCAAACACAGUGAGCAGCAUGGAGAAGUCAAUGGGCCCUGGGGCCUGGCUCAUCUCACCCUCUAGCUGUUAACCAUGUGGUUCUUCCCCAGCGAGGCCGGGCCUUCCUUGUCAAUAAGCCAUCACAGCUCUGGGCAAACCCGUGGAAGACCUCCUUAAACAUGAAGCUGGUCAAACUUCAUGAAGACAUUGGAUGUGGCCCACUGUGGCCUCUCGGUGGUCUGGCCGUGGCCUACCUGCUGGACAGCUUGGCUUCCUGGUGCAGAGAAGGCGCUGGGCUGGGUAUGUGGGGCGGGGCCAGCCAUCAGGUGUGGGCUCUCAUAUGGCAAUUCUAUGUUUAACUUAUUGAAGACCCACCAAACUGUUUUAUACAGCCACUGCACCAUUUUA